AGGAUCAUUGCUUAAAUUUAUAACAAAACAGACAGAUAAAGUGCCCCUACCAAAUGCUGAUGAUGAAAACCUUCCAGCAACAUCCACCUCCAGUGGGAUAGUGGCCACUCAACCUGUUGGUUGUCAUGAAGAGCAGGAAGAGACACCAGAGGCACAUCAAGCAUCCAUUCCAUGUUAUGACACUGAUAACUUUCCAGCAACAUCCACCUCCAGUGGGAUAGUGGCCACUCACCCUGUUGGUUGUCAUGAUGAGCAGGAAGAGACAACAGAGGCACAUCGAGCACCCAUUCCAUGUUAUGACACUGAUAACUUUCCGGCAACGUCCACCACCAACAGGACAGGAAUUCCUACCCCUCAUCAUGACACGUCAGCUGCUACUACAAACAGGUUUCAAUACAUCAGAAGAUCCUGCAGAAUGGCCAAGUGUUCUUAGCCAUACUGAAGUGUGUGCAUUAGUCACAAAAGGGCCUAUACAGAUCAAAGAUGUAGUAUUCCCACAGAAUUCUGAGAAAAAUCCACGUAGAUUCACAAAGGAAAACUACCAAAUGGUAAUGAAAAAUGGGGAGAAGAUACAUCGAACAUGGCUUCUUUAUUCAGUUAGCAAAGACUCUGUAUUCUGUUUUGCGUGCAAACUUUUUGGUAAACAAGACAAAGCACUUACAGUAGGAGGUUUUAGAAAUUGGAGGAAUCUGGCUGGACAUCUAAAGGAACAUGAAUAUUCCAAAACACACAUUACCUGUAUGACAAGUUGGCAUCAACUCCAGAUGAGGCUCAAAACUAAAACAGCCAUUGAUCAGAUUAACCAGGAUUUAAUGCACCUUGAGAUGCAUCACUGGAGAGGAGUCAUACGCAGAGUGAUCGCCAUAAUA